rnacentral:rRNA from 1 species
AUUGAACGCUGGCGGAAUGCUUUACACAUGCAAGUCGAGCGAACUGAUUAGAAGCUUGCUUCUAUGACGUUAGCGGCGGACAGGUGAGUAACACGUGGGCAACCUGCCUGUAAGACUGGGAUAACUUCGGGAAACCGAAGCUAAUACCGGAUAGGAUCUUCUCCUUCAUGGGAGAUGAUUGAAAGAUGGUUUCGGCUAUCACUUACAGAUGGGCCCGCGGUGCAUUAGCUAGUUGGUGAGGUAACGGCUCACCAAGGCAACGAUGCAUAGCCGACCUGAGAGGGUGAUCGGCCACACGGGGACUGAGACACGGCCCAGACUCCUACGGGAGGCAGCAGUAGGGAAUCUUCCGCAAUGGACGAAAGUCUGACGGAGCAACGCCGCGUGAGUGAUGAAGGCUUUCGGGUCGUAAAACUCUGUUGUUAGGGAAGAACAAGUACAAGAGUAACUGCUUGUACCUUGACGGUACCUAACCAGAAAGCCACGGCUAACUACGUGCCAGCCGCCGCAGUAA